GUGGGGAAUUUUGGACAAUGGGCGCAAGCCUGAUCCAGCAAUGCCGCGUGCAGGAAGAAGGCCUUCGGGUUGUAAACUGCUUUUGUACGGAACGAAACGGUCCGGGUUAAUACCCUGGGCUAAUGACGGUACCGUAAGAAUAAGCACCGGCUAACUACGUGCCAGCAGCCGCGGUAAUACGUAGGGUGCAAGCGUUAAUCGGAAUUACUGGGCGUAAAGCGUGCGCAGGCGUUUUUGUAAGACAGGCGUGAAAUCCCCGGGCUCAACCUGGGAAUUGCGCUUGUGACUGCAAGGCUGGAGUGCGGCAGAGGGGGAUGGAAUUCCGCGUGUAGCAGUGAAAUGCGUAGAUAUGCGGAGGAACACCGAUGGCGAAGGCAAUCCCCUGGGCCUGCACUGACGCUCAUGCACGAAAGCGUGGGGAGCAAACAGGAUUAGAUACCCGUGUAGUCC
rnacentral:rRNA from 1 species